rnacentral:tRNA from 1 species
AUUUAAAUAGCUUAAGUUUAAAGCGUAAUAUUGAAGAUAUUAAAAUAGUUAGUAACUUUUAAGUA